GCCCAGAUAGCUCAGUUGGUAGAGCACCCCCUUGGUAAGGGGGAGGUCGACGGUUCAAGUCCGUUUCUGGGCUCCA
rnacentral:tRNA from 1 species